ensembl:misc_RNA Metazoa_SRP Metazoan signal recognition particle RNA
GCUGGGCAUGGUGGCUCAUGCCUGAAAUCCUAGCACUUUGGGAGGCCGAGGCGGGCGGAUUGCCUGAGCUCAGGAGUUCAAGAUCAGCCUGGGCAACACAGUGAAAACCCACCUCUACUAAAAUACAAAAAAUUAGCUGGGUGUGGUGGUGCACACCUGUAGUCCCAGCUACUUGGGAGGCUGAGGCAGAAGAAUUGCUUGAACCCAGGAGGUGGAGGUUGCAGUGAGCUGAGAUUGUGCCACUGCACUCCAGCCUGGGCAACAAGGCAAGACUCUGUCUCC